rnacentral:rRNA from 1 species
GUGUCAGCAGCCGCGGUAAUACGAAGGGUGCAAGCGUUAAUCGGAAUUACUGGGCGUAAAGCGUGCGUAGGCGGUUGGCUAAGUCAGAUGUGAAAGCCCUGGGCUCAACCUGGGAAUGGCAUUUGAAACUGGCCGGCUAGAGUGUGAUAGAGGAUGGCGGAAUUCCCGGUGUAGCGGUGAAAUGCGUAGAGAUCGGGAGGAACAUCCGUGGCGAAGGCGGCCAUCUGGAUCAACACUGACGCUGAGGCACGAAAGCGUGGGGAGCAAACAGGAUUAGAUACCCUGGUAGUCC